GUUUAACGAAGGUAGCAGUAUUUAGGUGGCAGACGGGUGAGUAACAUGUAGGUAUCUGCCCUUUGGCCGUGGAAUAACACGAGGAAACUUGUGCUAAUACCGGAUAAGUCUUUACGGAGAAAGCUUUAUGCACCAUUGGAUGAGCCUGCACUUGAUUAGUUUGUUGGUGGGGUAAUGGCCUACCAAGACUGUGAUCAAUAGCUGAUUUGAGAGGAUGAUCAGCCACAUUGGGACUGAGACACGGCCCAAACUCCUACGGGAGGCAGCAGUGGGGAAUCUUGCACAAUGGAGGAAACUCUGAUGCAGCGAUGCCGCGUGAGUGAAGAAGGCCUUUGGGUUGUAAAGCUCUUUCGUCGGGGAAGAAAAUGACUGUACCCGAAUAAGAAGGUCCGGCUAACUUCGUGCCAGCAGCCGCGGUAAUACGAAGGGACCUAGCGUAGUUCGGAAUUACUGGGCUUAAAGAGUUCGUAGGUGGUUGAAAAAGUUGGUGGUGAAAUCCCAGAGCUUAACUCUGGAACUGCCAUCAAAACUUUUUCAGCUAGAGUAUGAUAGAGGAAAGCAGAAUUUCUAGUG
rnacentral:rRNA from 1 species